AUGGCUUAUGAUGUCCAUGAUCAACAAAAAGAAGAUAUGUACCAGCAUAAUGAUAUCUACUCUCACGCAUAUAUUUCCUCUAUAUUUAUGAAUUCCACCAUUUACCUACAUCACUUCGUGAGCAAGAGAAGAGCUUGCGAGAAUAGCAGAAAGCCUUGCAAGGAUUUUUCCAGCUGCAGUGAAUCAGCAGCUUUCUACAAGUUUCAAAGAAACGUGUUGUGAAAAUGAAGUGGAGAAUAGAAGGAUUGCCGAAUUGAUAUAUGACAUGUGAUCAAGAGGAGCCAAGUAGCGCACAAGUGAAAGAUCCAAUCUAAUUUGUAAAGGACCUCCUAGAUGCAAUUCAAGAUCUCAACCCAACAGAGAGAGAGAGAGAGAGAGCUGGGUCGUUAAUCCUCCAGCUGGGAAUUGCCAUUCACACCUUGCAUAGAAAUGAUACUUACGCUUCAUUUGAGACGAUAUGAAGAUGUCUGGUCAUGCUAGCAACAAGGCACACCAAAUGACAUUUCCAGUUAGUCAACCGGGACAUCAUUGUGUAGCAUUUGAAUCGAACUGACGAGUUCUUCUCUGCUCGUCUUAUCAUUCAGGCACUCCUAAUUGAUGGAAUCUUUGAUUCUGAGUCAUAAGAAAACCAGAUAAAGGUCACAAACAAGAAUAAUAAGCAGGAGUUUGAGAGGCUGAUCCAGGAUUUGAAGCAGGGAAAAAAAUGAGACCUAUUAUUAUGAUAUCCGCUAUUUUUAAUUCUUUGCACUUCCAUGUUGCAGCAAGCAAAUGUUGUUCUAUACACCUUUCAAACUGGUACCGGUUUUAUGUAUGCCGCAAACUGAAUUAGUUCUUGUUAUUACUACUUUUUAUUUGUAUGAGUUGU